AUUUGGAUGUGUCCCGAUUUGUGACAAUUACGGACAGGGCCGAUCUGAAUGUCUUGGCUGACGCCUUUGUGCACCGGAGGCAUUUCACCUUGGGCGUUGUCGGUAUCUGUGGCCGGGACGGCCUUUGUGGGGUACAGUCGGGUCAGGGUCCACGGCUCACUUUUCCGCACCCACACAGCGGGCACUGAGCGUGGCCUGCGGAUCCGGCUUCUGCCUGCGUGUGACCAGGUGACGUGCGCGAGGCCUCGGAACCGCUCUCCCCAGCACAGAACGCUCUGCCGUCAGAAAAUGGCCAAGAAUCCGGAAUUCCACGGAAGCAGAGCGGGGAGCGGGGAGAUGGGCGUAGAAACACGUGUUCGCAGCCAAGAGCACACAGCUGUUUCCUCUUGUGGCUUCCCCAGCCUCAGAUGAUUUGUUUUAUUAGAGGCGAGUUGGGUUCGCUACCGACUGACGGCGCUGGCGGCCCCGGGAGGCAGAUGACCGACAGCGCAUCGCGGCGCUGACCCAGCGCCACGUGUGUGCCCGACGUUCGCCCACGGCUGUCGCUUGAUGCCCGUGCCCUGAAUACCCUCGGAUUCACACGGAAGCCCUGCAGGCAGUGUGCACGCCCUUGCUAAUUUUACCUGAUGAAUUUACGAGGUGAUGUUGUUAUCCACCCAUUUCGCAGAUGAAAAACUGAGGCUCAGAGAAGGUGAGUCACUGGCCCCACAUCUCAGACCCAGUGCGUCUUUGACUCUGAGAAGAGCUGUUAGUGGUCUGCUGAACGCGGCCUGCACUGGGUGCCCUUGUGGUGGGAGAGGGGCCGGGAGCCUUCCUCUGACUGUGAUGAGCCCCUCCCCGGACCCCCUUUUCCUCUGCCUCUGCUGGAGGAGGAGGCCGAACCCCACCCCCUGGCCCACGUGGACCGAAGGCCGCACGCCCACGUUCCCCGCGGAGCCGGGACAUCGGAGGAGGCCCGGUCGGUCCACCCUGACCCCUUCGGGACUGCUCUCGGCCUCACUCUCCUUAUCCAGGCCGACCGUGGUGCUGGGUCAGAGAUGGCCCCCAGCCCCUCCUGUGACGGGCGGGGGGGGGGGGGGACCCGACUUGGAGCCCCACCAGCUUCAUCUCUGCACAGGCAAGGGCCUCCUCCCUCGUCCUGGCCCUUCCCUGCCCCCAGAAAGCCUGAGAGACCAUCCUGGUCAGGCCAUCUGUUUCCUGCCCCUUCGGGAAGGCCGUCCCGCCCAGGCCUUGGCAGCAGAAAUCCCGCAUCUCCUGUCCCCACGCCCCUCCGUGCCCGGGGUCCUGGCCCUGGGAUGGCUGGCUUAGUGCGACCACGGCCCGGCUGCCUGUUGGGCUCCCGCAGCCCCUCCGGCGGGGCCUCCGCCCUUUUGGCGUCCGUCUCCUGCCCCUGCCCUCCUGGCCCAUUGUCUUUCCCCAGAAGCAGGGUGUGGGGCAGUCCGGGAGCCCGGGACCAUUCCUUUUCCUGCUGUGGAGCCAGUGACAAUGAUGGCCCACACCCCGCCCCUGUGCACAGGGGCCACGAGCUUUCCCUCCCCGGGGGUCUCAGCCCGUACUCGGAGGAGGGGCCCCAUGCAGAGCUUCCCUCAGACCCAGGCCUCGUGCCCCCAGUCCGGAAGUGGCUCCUCUUGGGCAACAUUCCGAACAUCGGUUUGCAAGGACUUUCCCUUCAGCGGUGAAAAGCCCUCACCUGGGCUAAGCUCCAGAUUCAGAACCCCUCUUGGGGCAAAGCAGGGAACCUCUCGGUGCUACCUGAAGACUGUGCAUGGACGCUGCCAGCCUCUGACCCGGCUCCUGCUCUCGACACAGCGGGCUUGGAUCUAUAAGCUGUGUGGUUCUGUUCUCCUCGGGAGGCCGCGUUCCUGCAUUCAUCCUGCAGACACCUACUGGGACGUGGACCUGCUCGGCCCGGGAACAGACAGGGGCACUGCCCGAACCCACAAUGAGCCUGGGCCCGCGGGCAUCUGAUCCCAGCCCAACAAACAACCAGCGCGGAAAUGGGGACGCAGGUUGCUUGAGGCCGUGUCUGCUGGGCUGAGUGAAGGGAGCGCAGACGUGAACGAGGCCACGGUGGCCGGGGUGGGGGCGCGUGGCCACGGACUGGGUCAGCACAGGCCAACAGAGCUGCUCGUGAUGAUGGAUGUCGCACAUCCACGCUGUGACCCAAGAGCCCUGGAAACCGGCUUUCUAGUUGCCCUGAUUUGUAAUUACCUUAAAUUUCACUAGGAUCGCACGGCCAGCAGCUGUUGUGUUGGGCAGCACCGUCCUAGGCAGGGAUGGCCGCGUGCCUGUCCCCUGGGGCUGGAGGCCGCUCACGUGUCUGAAAAGCCAGAGGAGGACAGUCAGAGGCACAGCGGGCAGCGAGGUGCAAGAGGGUGGUUCUUUUUGAUUCUAGAUGACGCGUUUCCGGUUUUUUUCAGCCCCGGGAGCUGCGGGUCAGUUGUAGUAUGCAAUCCCGAGUGAGGACGAGAGUUGCCCUGCCGACCCUGGGCUUGCACUCUUGCUCCCCUUAGCGGAGGACGUCAGGGGGAAGCUGCGAAGGGGCAGCUGCUCCUGAUGUCCCAGAAGGCAGGUGCGUUAGUGAGGCUCCCAGAGACACAAACCACUAGGUUCCUGCGAAUCCGCUCCAUCCAGACUUCCUGACUCAGUCCACCGAUCCCAGUGUUCACCUCAUCCAGAAACAUCCUCACGGACAUGCCCAGAGCGGUGCUUGACCCGAUGUCUGGGCCGCCUACGGCCAGUCAAGUUGACGCACAGAAUUACCCAUCAUAGCAGGUGCCUCGUUCCGCCCUAAACAUGCACAGGAUGCCGUGGGUGUUAGUCAAGGAGCCGUCUCUGUCCGCAGCCCCCGCGACCCAGGCCCUGGGUUUCAGCUCUGCAACUCCGCUUUGGCCGUGCCUGAUCCAGGAGAGACAACCAACCGGAGACACCACGUUCAGAGGCUACCUGGAGCCCUGUGGCCAGUGCAACCAGGCUUCCAGCAAUGAGCCGGACAAUCAGAACUUCUCUCUGUCACGGGGCUGGGACUCAGGAGCUUGAAGAAUCACUACCUGGCCUGUCUGUACCAUAGCCUCGUCUCUCCAGGGAGGAGGGCACCACUGACCAUCUCUGUUUGCCACAGAAUUAAGAGGAUGAGGACCGUUUUUGCCAGGGCUGUCUCCGGUAUUGGAAAGUCCCCUGGUGUCUUGCAUGGAGAUGGACAAAAUGUAGGCACACAGAAAAUACUCCUGAACAGACUGCAGGUUUCCACUGGAGAAGAAGAAAACUUCCUUCUCGAGAAGCCGACAGCCACCAGCCAGGGCAGAGCCUGCCUGCCAGCAGCCUGCAGGGCACCCCCCCCCCCCCCCGCCACCAUGCCUGAGGGCUUUCUAGACCCUGCAGCUCCUCUUUGGGGACGGUCUUCCCCCCAGCCUCUGGGGUCCCCAUCACCCUCUGCAAAUCGUGCUUCGUCUCCUACCACUUGUGACUCCACGUUCCCUCCCCCGGGUCUGUGCUCCACGGUCCCCAUGCCCGCGGGCCACCCUUCCCUCUGCCCAGUGAGCUCCUCACCAUCCUGCCAGGCUCCUGCGGAGACCUUCGGACUCUCAUCAGCAGGCAGCGGGGAGCAGGGGGAGGGUGUGGGCCCAGGAGAGGGAGGCGAUAGGAGUCAGAACCACCCCUGCUGGCCCCUCACGUGAUGACUCUUGGGGGGUGCUGGUCUGCCCCCUCCCUGUCGGGCCCCCACACCAGAGAGACCACCUCUGCUCUCCCCCCCCCGGGCUGGGCCCUCCCAGAGUUCCAAGGCCCGGGACCCGCUCCUCACACGGCCUCUGGCUCUCUGCUCGGCCGCGGUUCUUCCAUGGCCCCGGCAGCGAGUCAUGCCAUUGGGCGCCGAAAGCCUCCAUGACCUUCAAGUGAACGUUCACAUCUUAGCCCGAGACGUGCCAUUAUCUUCACUCUUUUAGCUUUACAUACUUUUCAGGGGUUGCUUGCCCUGGUGCCUCCCUCGUGUCCUACUGGGCUGUCCUUGUUUUCUCCACCUGUAAAACAGGCAAGUGCUGAUGCCCCCUGCCAGGCUCCAUGCAGGGCUCACUUCGAGGACUCACCCCGGCCUGGUCUCACGUACCUCGGGGUUGUCGCUUUCUGAGCUCUGACCUCCCCAAUCAGAGGGCUGGAACCCACCACCUUCAAAUGGAAACGGACCUUGGGGUUUGGACACUCAGGGCCAGUGCAGUCGAGGGCCCCCCGAGGGUCACCCAGCUGCCGGGCAGAGGGACGGCACAGUCGAGCUUCCUGCUGGAGGCCGUUCGCAGGCAUAAGGCAGACGGGCCUUGUCUCCCUGAAGUGAACAUCUCUGGUCGGCGUGACGAAUCUGGAGGCCAGACGAGACUGUCACUGCAGCUGGAUCCGUGUGUCCGCCUCCCUGUCCUGUCCGUGUCCCAGCCCCAUCACUGUACAUCCAGGCCCCCCCCCCCCACAGCGAAGGCUCGGUCCCCACCUGCCCCUCCGGCCAGCCUUAGCAUGUGGGGGUCGGGGCUAAAACAGAAGCCUGAAGCCCGAGUCGGGGUCAUUUGUUUCCAUGCCUUCCUGGUGCAGCAGAGCACGAGUCCCACAGCAGAACCAUGUCUCUUUCUGCCUGUGGGUCCUCAGCAGCUGGUGCAGACGUCCUUUGAGGCAGGCGUGGACGAGUGAAUGAAUGGGUGUGAGAAUGAGUGAAUGAUCAUCAAGAGACCUGAGAUCCUUCUGGUCUCAAGUGGCCAGGAAAUCAUCAUCAAACAGCCCAACGUGAGAGCAGGUGGGAAGUUGUAGGAACCAUACAGAUUCAGCGGAAAUGUGAGUGUGAGGGAGCCGUGACCUGAAGGGAGACUCGGAACAGAGUCCUGGCUUCCUGAGACAGGAGGGUCAUUGUGGAGGCCCCGGAGCUGCCCCAUCCCAGGAGGAGGCAGAGCCCCUGAGCGAGCAGCCCGGAGCCAGGCCUUCGUGGAGAAAGAAGGUGCUCCGGGCCCCGAGACCCCAGCAGAGGUGCCCCGGGAAAGUGUCCCGUUCCCGCGUCCGCUGUCUCGCUCGUGCCACCGUUCCUGUGUCUGGCAUCCACCCGUCACAGAGCCCAGGGCCCUCAAGCAUCAGGAAAACCCGGCUGGAACUAUUUCUUGGGUUUUGGAAAGUAUAUUCACAAUUGCGCUUGGGGACACAAGCAGAGUGCUUCCUCGGGAGCUGAAG